rnacentral:snRNA from 12 species
AGCUUUGUGCAGUGGCAGUAUUGUAACCUAAGAGGUUUAGCCGAGGUGUUAUUAUUGCUAGUUGAAAACUUGUUUUCACACUGCUGUAGUGUACAGGGUGUCUCCUGCCUUGUGCUGUCUGCUUGCUGGGAUAGAUUACGAGUC